rnacentral:rRNA from 1 species
CACGGAGUUAGCCGGAGCUUAUUCUCCCGGUACUGUCAUUAUCAUCCCGGGUAAAAGAGCUUUACAACCCUAAGGCCUUCAUCACUCACGCGGCAUUGCUGGAUCAGGCUUGCGCCCCAUUGUCCAAUAUUCCCCACUGCUGCCUCCCGUAGGAGUCUGGGCCGUGUCUCAGUCCCAGUGUGGCUGAUCAUCCUCUCAGACCAGCUAAAGAUCGUCGGCUUGGUGCGCCUUUACCACACCAACUACCUAAUCUUACGCGGGCUCAUCCCUCGGCGAUAAAUCUUUGGUACUUACGUCGUCAUCCGGUAUUAGCAGCCAUUUCUAGCUGUUAUUCCGGAACCAAGGGGCUAGAUUCCCACGCGUUACGCACCCGUGCGCCACUACUCACCCGAAGGCAAAUCGUUCGACUUGCAUGUGUUAGGCAUGCCGCCAGCGUUCGUUCUGAGCCAGGAUCAAACUCU